rnacentral:rRNA from 1 species
AAAAACUCCGGUGGUGUAAGAUGGACCCGCGUCUGAUUAGCUUGUUGGCGGGGUAGAGGCCCACCAAGGCGACGAUCAGUAGCCGGCCUGAGAGGGUGGACGGCCACAUUGGGACUGAGACACGGCCCAAACUCCUACGGGAGGCAGCAGUGGGGGAUAUUGGACAAUGGGGGAAACCCUGAUCCAGCGACGCCGCGUGAGUGAAGAAGUAUUUCGGUAUGUAAAGCUCUGUCAGCAGGGAAGAAAGAAAUGACGGUACCUGACCAAGAAGCCCCGGCUAACUACGUGCCAGCAGCCGCGGUAAUACGUAGGGGGCAAGCGUUAUCCGGAAUUACUGGGUGUAAAGGGAGCGUAGACGGUGAUGCAAGUCUGGAGUGAGAGGCGGGGGCCCAACCCCCGGACUGCUCUGGAAACUGUGUAACUUGAGUGCAGGAGAGGUAAGCGGAAUUCCUAGUGUAGCGGUGAAAUGCGUAGACAUUAGGAGGAACACCAGUGGCGAAGGCGGCUUACUGGACUGUAACUGACGUUGAGGCUCGAAAGCGUGGGGAGCAAACAGGAUUAGAUACCCUGGUAGUCCACGCCGUAAACGAUGAUUACUAGGUGUCGGUGGGUAUGGACCCACCG